ACGCGUUGCCCGCCGCCGAUGACGCGUUGCCCGCCGCUGGUGCAGGGUCGCCUGCCGCCGGUGACGCGUUGCCCGCCGCCGCAAUCGACGCUGCGCCCUACGCCGCGCCCGACGUGCCGCCCGAUGCCGAGACACCGAACUUUCAACAAACGACUUCUCUGCCCGCUGUUUCCCCUUCUCCGCGGUCUGCGAACGGGGCCAGCGCGACGCCGCCCACCCGCAGCCAGCCGCCGCCGUCCAGCACGGAGCCAGCGCAGCCGGUGUCGUCGCAGCCGUCGGCGCGGCCCGCGUUCGAGUUCGAGCCCAACCGGCCCGACUUCAAGGGUGCACCCGAGCGAACCUCACGCGUGUACUUGAAGGCGGGCGAGUAUGGCGAGAACGGCGCCGACUACGGCGGAGAGGACGCGCCGCCGCCGCCGAGCACG